AAGAGAAUGUUAUCACACGGCUGAAUGCAAAAAACAGGAUCGAAGCCAUCAAUGCUUUAGCCAUACCGGUCGUGACUUACAAUUUCAAUAUUAUUAACUGGUCAGUUACUGAAAUCUGUAAUAUUGAUCGAAAAAUACGAAAGUUGUUGACAAUGCAUAUAAUGCACCACUCUAAGGCAGAUAUAGAACGA